CACGUAGGGUGCGAGCGUUGUCCGGAAUUAUUGGGCGUAAAGAGCUCGUAGGCGGUGUGUCGCGUCGGCCGUGAAAACCUGCAGCUUAACUGUGGGCUUGCGGUCGAUACGGGCAUCACUGGAGUUCGGCAGGGGAGACUGGAAUUCCUGGUGUAGCGGUGAAAUGCGCAGAUAUCAGGAAGAACACCGAUGGCGAAGGCAGAUCUCUGGGCCGUAACUGACGCUGAGGAGCGAAAGCAUGGGGAGCGAACAGG
rnacentral:rRNA from 1 species